UGGUGGGGUAAUGGCCUACCAAGGCGACGAUGGGUAGCCGGUCUGAGAGGAUGGUCGGCCACACUGGGACUGAGACACGGCCCAGACUCCUACGGGAGGCAGCAGUGGGGAAUUUUGCGCAAUGGGGGCAACCCUGACGCAGCGACGCCGCGUGGGUGAAGAAGGCCUUCGGGUUGUAGAGCCCUGUCUGGGGGGAAGAUAGUGACGGUACCCCCGGAGGAAGCCCCGGCUAACUACGUGCCAGCAGCCGCGGUAAGACGUGGGGGGCGAGCGUUGUCCGGAAUUACUGGGCGUAAAGGGCGUGUAGGCGGCCUGCCAAGUCGGCUGUGAAAUUCCUCGGCUCGACCGGGGGUCUGCAGUUGAAACUGGUGGGCUUGAGUGCAGGAGAGGAGGGUGGAAUUCCUGGUGUAGCGGUGAAAUGCGUAGAUAUCAGGAGGAACACCGGUGGCGAAGGCGACCUUCUGGCCUGUCACUGACGCUGAGGCGCGAAAGCUAGGGGAGCAAACAGGAUUAGAU
rnacentral:rRNA from 1 species